rnacentral:rRNA from 1 species
GUGGGGUGACUGCGUACCUUUUGUAUAAUGGGUCAGCGACUUAUAUUCUGUAGCAAGGUUAACCGAAUAGGGGAGCCGUAGGGAAACCGAGUCUUAACCGGGCGUUAAGUUGCAGGGUAUAGACCCGAAACCCGGUGAUCUAGCCAUGGGCAGGUUGAAGGUUGGGUAACACUAACUGGAGGACCGAACCGACUAAUGUUGAAAAAUUAGCGGAUGACCUGUGGCUGGGGGUGAAAGGCCAAUCAAACCGGGAGAUAGCUGGUUCUCCCCGAAAGCUAUUUAGGUAGCGCCUCGUGAAUUCAUCUCCGGGGGUAGAGCACUGUUUCGGCUAGGGGGCCAUCCCGGCUUACCAACCCGAUGCAAACUGCGAAUACCGGAGAAUGUUAUCACGGGAGACACACGGCGGGUGCUAACGUCCGUCGUGAAGAGGGAAACAACCCAGACCGCCAGCUAAGGUCCCAAAGUCAUGGUUAAGUGGGAAACGAUGUGGGAAGGCCCAGACAGCCAGGAUGUUGGCUUAGAAGCAGCCAUCAUUUAAAGAAAGCGUAAUAGCUCACUGGUCGAGUCGGCCUGCGCGGAAGAUGUAACGGGGCUAAACCAUGCACCGAAGCUGCGGCAGCGACGCUGAUGCGUUGUUGGGUAGGGGAGCGUUCUGUAAGCCUGUGAAGGUGGCCUGUGAGGGUUGCUGGAGGUAUCAGAAGUGCGAAUGCUGACAUAAGUAACGAUAAAGCGGGUGAAAAGCCCGCUCGCCGGAAGACCAAGGGUUCCUGUCCAACGUUAAUCGGGGCAGGGUGAGUCGACCCCUAAGGCGAGGCCGAAAGGCGUAGUCGAUGGGAAACGGGUUAAUAUUCCCGUACUUGGUGUUACUGCGAAGGGGGGACGGAGAAGGCUAUGUUGGCCGGGCGACGGUUGUCCCGGUUUAAGCGUGUAGGUGUGUGUUCCAGGUAAAUCCGGUUCACUUUAACACUGAGGCGUGAUGACGAGGCACUACGGUGCUGAAGCAACAAAUGCCCUGCUUCCAGGAAAAGCCUCUAAGCAUCAGGUAACAUCAAAUCGUACCCCAAACCGACACAGGUGGUCAGGUAGAGAAUACCAAGGCGCUUGAGAGAACUCGGGUGAAGGAACUAGGCAAAAUGGUGCCGUAACUUCGGGAGAAGGCACGCUGACACGUAGGUGAAGUGAUUUACUCAUGG